rnacentral:lncRNA from 1 species
AUGAAUAUUACCACACUGGAGAAUGGAAAGCCUGAGGAGGGGAGGGCUUGCCAGCAGUCCGGAGCAAGGUGUGGCAGGGCCCUGUCCUCUGGUCCCUGUCAGAGCCGUCAGAAGUCCUCCGCAGCCUCCUCCCUGGAGCCAGAGGACCUCAGGGCCUCUGCUGCCAGCUUUGUGGUGAAGACAGGAGUUUGGAGUGGGUUUUCCCACGUCUGGAGCUCAUGUGCCUGCCCUGUGACCCAGUGGGAUGCAGCAGUGAGCAGUUUCUACAGCUUCCCCCGCGCUGGCCCAUCUCAGUGCAGAAAUGGAAUCAUUGCUGUCACAAGUUAG